AUUGAACGCUGGCGGCAGGCCUAACACAUGCAAGUCGAGCGAGCGGCGGACGGGUGAGUAAUGUAUGGGGACUGCCCGAUAGAGGGGGAUAACUACUGGAAACGGUGGCUAAUACCGCAUACUAUCGGAUAACCCAUAUGGGAUUAGCUAGUAGGUGGGGUAAAGGCUCACCUAGGCGACGAUCUCUAGCUGGUCUGAGAGGAUGAUCAGCCACACUGGGACUGAGAAACGGCCCAGAGUCCUACGGAGGCAGAAGGGGGGAAGAUUGGACAAGGGGCGCAAGCCUGAUGCGGCCAUGCCGCGGGUAGGAAGAAGGCCUUAGGGUUGGAAAGUGCUUUCGGUAGCGAGGCGUUAACGACAGAAGAAGCACCGGCUAACUCCGUGCCAGCAGCCGCGGUAAUUC
rnacentral:rRNA from 1 species